rnacentral:rRNA from 1 species
GUAGGGAGCAAGCGUUGUCCGGAAUCAUUGGGCGUAAAGCGCGCGUAGGCGGCCCGGUAAGUCCGCUCUGAAAGUCAAAGGCUCAACCUUUGAAAGCGGGUGGAUACUGCUGGGCUAGAGUCCGGAAGAGGCGAGUGGAAUUCCUGGUGUAGCGGUGGAAUGCGCAGAUAUCAGGAGGAACACCAACGGCGAAGGCAGCUCGCUGGGACGGUACUGACGCUGAGGCGCGAAAGCGUGGGGAGCAAACAGGAUUAGAUACCCUGGUAGUCCACGCCGUAAACGAUGGGCAUUAGGUGUGGGAGGUGUCGACUCCUCCCGUGCCGGCGCUAACGCAUUAAAUGCCCCGCCUGGGGAGUACGGCCGCAAGGCUAAA